GAUGAACGCUGGCGGCGGGCUUAACACAUGCAAGUCGAACGGAAGCGCGCGGCUUGCGUGCAGUGCUCGAGUGGGGCCGGCGCGAGUAAGAGGAGAGCAUCUCGACCCUGCCCUUCGGAUAACUUCAGGCAACCGGGGCUAAGACCGGAUAGGAGCUCCUGCCAUUUGGGGGGGGCGGGAAAGAUGCGGCGGUUGGGGAUGGACUCGGGGGAUACCAGCGAGUUGGUGGGGUAGUGGCUUACGAAGGCUUUGACGGGUAGCCGGCCUGAGAGGGUGACCGGGCACAUGGGGACAGAGAUACGGCCCGGAGUCCUACGGGAGGUAGCAGAAGGGAAUUUUGCACAAUGCGCGGAAGCCGGGUGCAGCAACGCCGCGUGCGGGAUGGUAGCCUGCGUGUUGGAAACCGCUUUCUGCUGUGACGAAGGGUUUGUGACGGUAAUGGAUGAAGAAGCACCGGCUAACUACGUG
rnacentral:rRNA from 1 species